UAAAGUUUUACGCUUGUUACUUGACACCCUGGUCGAUGCGCAAACUAGAAAGAUGUAGCAGGUCUAAAACUUUGCCUUAAAUCGUAUAUUUGGAUAGAGCCAUCAGAACAACCAGUAAGUAUUUACUCACCUUUUUAAAAAUAUUAGAGAGACGUGGCUGAAACUUUCUGACCUUUAGGGUCUCUGGAUUUAAUUAGGAGUUAAUGACCAAGAUUUUGAUCCAUGCCAACUGGUUUAGAAUUCAAAUCCCACUGUCUGAUGGUUCCAUCACUCGAACUCGUUAGAAAUAAGUUGUCAUUUUUAGGGUGCCAUUUGCCAUCUAGGAUUGCUGCAACAUGGCCUUUAGUAUUUGCCAUGUCAUGCAGAUACAUAUCUCCCCGAACUGUCGUUUAUUUCUUUACCCCUUCGAAGGAAUAUAUUCUAGCCUGAUUGUUUGGACA
rnacentral:misc_RNA from 1 species